GGGGUUGUGACUCAGUUGGUAGAGUGCUUGCCUCGCAUGUGUGAGUCACUGGGUUUGAUUCCCAGCACCA
rnacentral:tRNA from 1 species